rnacentral:rRNA from 1 species
AACGAACGCUGGCGGCAUGCCUAACACAUGCAAGUCGAACGAGACCUUCGGGUCUAUGGGCGCACGGGUGCUUAACGCGUGGGAACCUGCCCUUAGGUUCGGAAUAACUCCCCGAAAGGGGUGCUAAUACCGGAUAAUGUCUUCCGACCAAAGAUUUAUCGCCUUUGGAUGGGCCCUCGUUGGAUUAGCUAGUUGGUAGGGUAAAAGCCUACCAAGGCGACGAUCCAUAGCUGGUCGGAGAGGAUGAUCAGCCACACUGGGACUGAGACACGGCCCAGACUCCUACGGGAGGCAGCAGUGGGGAAUAUUGGACAAUGGGCGAAAGCGUGAUCCAGCAAUGCCGGGUGAGUGAUGAAGGGGGUAGGGUUGUAAAGCUGUUUUACACGGGAUGAGAAUGACAGUAACGGGAGAAUAAGCUCCGGCUAACUCCGUG